CGACACCCCGGAGGCGAAGAAGCGCUGCCUGAGCGUUGGGCGCCAGUGGGCAGCGUGGAGCCAGUGGCGCACCCGGCCGGGAUAUCC
rnacentral:ncRNA from 2 species